GUUCCCUGUAUUCUGCGCACUUGCAAGGCUGUCCACCCAUCUUGUAACUACCGCACACGUCACAUGGCUGGGAGCGUGGCCAGCACCCGGGUCCUGCUCUGGAGGCUGGGCCCUCAACCUGCUGAAACUGUGGCUGCUGUCAGCGCCAGGGGACUGGGUAAUGGGAUGGACCUAAAGAUUGUCAGCAAGGAGGAUGAGACGUCAGUCACAGAUGGAGGGUUGUGUCUGACUGAUUGCCUCAGCUCCAGUGUGAUGGACAACCCAGACCUUCUACUGUGCCUGGUGAUGGUGAUGUACACAGGAGGAACACGGAUCAAAUCAGCUGCUGGACCAGAAUCCCUCAAUCUCAGGUUUGUUUUUGCUCAUGGUGGCUCUGGCAGUAUCUCCCA
rnacentral:lncRNA from 1 species